GCAAACUUGGUCAUUUAGAGGAAGUAAAAGUCGUAACAAGGUUUCCGUAGGUGAACCUGCGGAAGGAUCAUUAAAAAAGAUUCUAAAAUUGUAGUUUUUUUUAAACCUAUAAAAAGGUUUUAAAAAAACGAAAUUUAUUUUUUAAACCUGUCCAAAAAAUUAUUUAAAUUUUCGAAUGAAAAUUAAAACUUUCAACAACGGAUCUCUUGGUUCUCGCAUCGAUGAAGAACGCAGC
rnacentral:misc_RNA from 1 species